UCUUGGCAUGCUGGAUUUAUCCAGCAAGAAAAAGAAAUAGAGGGAAGACAUUGGCUGAUGAUCUCUCGCUUGUAGACUUAGUUGCUUAAUUGCCAAUGAGGGAGAGAUGCUGCUUGCAGGGAAAAUAAUGAUGAUGGAAAUUAGUUGAGGUUGAGGGGAAAAGAAGAUGGAACAGAAGUAGAAGACUUGAAGAGGUAAGGACUCCUUGGAGAAGUUCACAUGACAUUCUGUUUGACGUAAAAUCAGCAUGUGUCCCAAGUAAAUCAACAACAGCUGUUUUAAAUAGCAGAUUGUAUUUCAAAAUAUCAUUAUGAACCAGGGGAAGAAUUGCAUGGAUGCCUGUGUCUCCAGAUUACAGUGAUGGAACCUAGCAUCUGGACAUUGUGGCCAUGGGCAGACAGAUCUCAGAGUUGGCUGGAAGAUGGUUAUCUAUUUAAUGAAACAGUGAUCUUUAGGGGGAAAUUUUUUUCAUGAUUCAUGGGUUAAAAAUGCCAGCAAAAAAGAAUGAAAGGAAAAAAGGCUCGGUUACAUUCAGAGGUGUCAUGCUUCUGUUGGCUAAAGCUUCUACUCAGAAUCCUGUGCAUUUCUCUGAAUGGGGUAGCAAAGCAGUUUAAUACUAGUCUGUUCACUUCAAAAGUACUCACACCAAUAAACUAAGUAAGAUUCAGUACCCA